UACGGAGGGUGCAAGCGUUAUCCGGAUUCACUGGGUUUAAAGGGAGCGUAGGCGGAUAGUUCAGUCAGAGGUGAAAGCCCAGGGCUCAACCUUGGAAUUGCCUUUGAUACUGGCUGUCUUGAGUAUGGGAGAGGUUAGCGGAACUCCGAGUGUAGAGGUGAAAUUCGUAGAUAUUCGGAAGAACACCAGUGGCGAAGGCGGCUAACUGGCCCAUUACUGACGCUGAGGCUCGAAAGCGUGGGGAGCAAACAGG
rnacentral:rRNA from 1 species